rnacentral:rRNA from 1 species
ACCCGCUGAACUUAAGCAUAUCAAUAAGCGGAGGAAAAGAAACCAACAGGGAUUGCCCUAGUAACGGCGAGUGAAGCGGCAACAGCUCAAAUUUGAAAUCUGGCUCUUUUAGGGUCCGAGUUGUAAUUUGCAGAGGGCGCUUUGGCAUUGGCAGCGGUCCAAGUUCCUUGGAACAGGACGUCACAGAGGGUGAGAAUCCCGUACGUGGUCGCUAUCCUUCGCCGUGUAAAGCCCCUUCGACGAGUCGAGUUGUUUGGGAAUGCAGCUCUAAAUGGGAGGUAAAUUUCUUCUAAAGCUAAAUACUGGCCAGAGACCGAUAGCGCACAAGUAGAGUGAUCGAAAGAUGAAAAGCACUUUGGAAAGAGAGUCAAAUAGCACGUGAAAUUGUUGAAAGGGAAGCGCUUGCAGCCAGACUUGCCUGUAGUUGCUCAUCCGGGUUUUUACCCGGUGCACUCUUCUAUAGGCAGGCCAGCAUCAGUUUGGGCGGUUGGAUAAAGGUCUCUGUCAUGUACCUCUCUUCGGGGAGAACUUAUAGGGGAGACGACAUGCAACCAGCCCGGACUGAGGUCCGCGCAUCUGCUAGGAUGCUGGCGUAAUGGCUGU